GGGGAGGGGCCUUGAUUGCGUCAGGUCUUGACAGCGCUGGCUGAUGAGUGUCUUCUGGCUGCUGGUGCACGUUUACCGUGGAUUUUUUGAAAGCAACGUGACAUGGUUCUUGUGAAGAUGCAGUGGAAAUACUCAAAAGCCAACUGAUAUUAGGUCACUGGUGCUCAGAGGGCUCCCGAUUCUCCUUGGUGACAACCCCACAGAUUUCUUCAAAGCAUGCUUUGUAAGUAACUUAUUUUCUCAAAGGUUAUCUUAAAGGACCAUGAAAACAUAAUCAUUUUAUUAAUAGAUAGUCCUUGUAUUUGAUAAAACGUUUACACAUUGC
rnacentral:lncRNA from 1 species